rnacentral:rRNA from 1 species
UACGAAGGGGGCUAGCGUUGCUCGGAAUGACUGGGCGUAAAGGGCGCGUAGGCGGAUGAUACAGUCAGAUGUGAAAUUCCCGGGCUUAACCUGGGGGCUGCAUUUGAGACGUGUUGUCUAGAGUGAGGAAGAGGGUUGUGGAAUUCCCAGUGUAGAGGUGAAAUUCGUAGAUAUUCGGGAAGAACACCCGGUGGCGAAGGCGGCA